GGCCCCUACUGAAGGUGUUUUAUAAGGAAUUGUCACUUUAAUCGGGAAAAAGUCUCAUAAAUGAAAUGUAUUGAGCCAACAUCUCUUCAUAUGAAAUGAAGAAAUAUGUAGCAGCAACGUGAAUCUACAUUUUCAAGGGGAGAAAAAGAUGAAGUUUACCAUUGAAGCAAAACUCAAAGAAACGUGAUUAGUUUUGUAAUCAGCAACUUGGAAAAUUCUAAAGUUAAGUGACAACGUGAUUCAUUUCAUAAGAGCAACGUGAGUAUUUUUGUAAAAUCAGCAAGGUUUUAUUUUUGGUAACAGCGGCAACGUUUUUCCUUAUUCCAAAUGGGAAACUUAUGAUCCCUUUUACGAAGAAAUAUAGUGGGUUUUGCUCUCUACUUCGAUUUUGUUGUUCUCAUUUGCCGUGUUGUUGAAUUCAGACUUUCUUCGCAGUGAAGUAAGGUGAAAAAAGAGUAAUUCUUGGCAUAUAAGACUUGCGAGCUCGGGAAGUAAACGUUGGACAUUUAGAUAGACUUCGAGCAUGGGGAGGCUGCGUUCAUGCCCGCAGGUUCAGGUAGACAGUCAGGCGGUCCAACUCAGUAGGACUUCUAUCCAGCAGUAGUCGGGGCGCUCCACUCGGUUCGGAGCUGCUGUCCAUUUUGGUAUGCUAUUUUGAUGUAUAUAUGGGUAUGACGGGGCCCUGUCCUGUCCUUUCUACAGUUUUGUACUCCUUUAGAGGUCUAUAGAUGGUUGUACGUAGUAUGGAAGUCAUAUAGCCUUGUCGGCUUCUAUUUUGCUUUACAGUAUCUACAGUGGCCUAGUCGGCUUGCACUGUUGUCUCUAGUAUGUAUAUAUAUGUAUGCCUAUGAGCCCUUGAUGCAUAAUUCGUUGUGUUUUUCAUACAGAA